UACAGAGGGGGCAAGCGUUGUUCGGAAUUACUGGGCGUAAAGGGCGCGUAGGCGGCCUUCUAAGUCGAACGUGAAAUCCCCGGGCUCAACCCGGGAACUGCGUCCGAUACUGGAAGGCUUGAAUCCGGGAGAGGGAUGCGGAAUUCCAGGUGUAGCGGUGAAAUGCGUAGAUAUCUGGAGGAACACCGGUGGCGAAGGCGGCAUCCUGGACCGAGAUUGACGCUGAACGGCGAAAGCUAGGGGAGCAAACGGG
rnacentral:rRNA from 1 species